rnacentral:rRNA from 1 species
AACUUUCAACAACGGAUCUCUUGGUUCCGGCAUCGAUGAAGAACGCAGCGAAAUGCGAUAAGUAAUGUGAAUUGCAGAAUUCCGUGAAUCAUCGAAUCUUUGAACGCACAUUGCGCCCCCUGGUAUUCCGGGGGGCAUGCCUGUCCGAGCGUCAUUGCAACCCCUUCAAGCUCA